rnacentral:tRNA from 1 species
GGGUUAAGUUUACAGAUGGUUCUGUAGUAGACUUGCAAAGUCUAUAUGUUUAGGGUUCAAUUCCUUCUUAUCCCU